rnacentral:rRNA from 1 species
GCGCCUUAUGCAUGCAAGUCGAGCGAAGCUUUUCAGUAGUUUACUACAGAAAAUGACUGAGCGGCGAACGGGUGAGUAACGCGUGAGCAACCUACCUUAGUUACUGGGAUAGCCCGAGGAAACUCGGAUUAAUACCGGAUAUUCUUAUUUAAUCACAUGAUUUUUUAAGGAAAGGUCAGCCGAACUAAGAUGGGCUCGCGUUCUAUCAGCUAGUUGGUAGGGUAAUGGCCUACCAAGGCUACGACGGAUAGCUGGUCUGAGAGGACGAUCAGCCACACUGGGACUGAGACACGGCCCAGACUCCUACGGGAGGCUGCAGCAGGGAAUAUUGCGCAAUGAGCGAAAGCUUGACGCAGCGACACCGCGUGUGGGAUGACGGAUCUAGGUUUGUAAACCACUUUCAGGAGGGAAGAAAAUGACGGUACC